GAGCUUGCUCCACCGGAAAAAGAGGAGUGGCGAACGGGUGAGUAACACGUGGGUAACCUGCCCAUCAGAAGGGGAUAACACUUGGAAACAGGUGCUAAUACCGUAUAACAAUCAAAACCGCAUGGUUUUGAUUUGAAAGGCGCUUUCGGGUGUCGCUGAUGGAUGGACCCGCGGUGCAUUAGCUAGUUGGUGAGGUAACGGCUCACCAAGGCCACGAUGCAUAGCCGACCUGAGAGGGUGAUCGGCCACAUUGGGACUGAGACACGGCCCAAACUCCUACGGGAGGCAGCAGUAGGGAAUCUUCGGCAAUGGACGAAAGUCUGACCGAGCAACGCCGCGUGAGUGAAGAAGGUUUUCGGAUCGUAAAACUCUGUUGUUAGAGAAGAACAAGGAUGAGAGUAACUGUUCAUCCCUUGACGGUAUCUAACCAGAAAGCCACGGCUAACUACGUGCCAGCAGCCGCGGUAAUACGUAGGUGGCAAGCGUUGUCCGGAUUUAUUGGGCGUAAAGCGAGCGCAGGCGGUUUCUUAAGUCUGAUGUGAAAGCCCCCGGCUCAACCGGGGAGGGUCAUUGGAAACUGGGAGACUUGAGUGCAGAAGAGGAGAGUGGAAUUCCAUGUGUAGCGGUGAAAUGCGUAGAUAUAUGGAGGAACACCAGUGGCGAAGGCGGCUCUC
rnacentral:rRNA from 1 species